AAAAAACCACACCAAUCGGAUUCCAUCCAGAUUCUGCAGUUUGGCUUCUAAGCUGCAACAACCUACACAUCGCUCACUGCAAGAAAUGCAUCAAAUGGUAAGUUUUAUUAGCAGCGUUUGCUCAUCCCCCCAGUUUCUGUGAAGAAUAUGCAACUUAUGUGCAAAACUGGCUGGUGGGCGAAGGCUUGUCUACUGAAAAGCACAGAAGAGGUUACCUGUGAAAUAUUGGUGUCUGCUUCUAGGAAUGGUCAUUUUCCAGUUAGCCAAUGACACACAGCGUAAGUGAAAAGUUUAAGCAGCUUCUCUGUCGUUGCUCAUCAGAGAUGGAUAUUUCACUCAAUGCACACGAAGUAAGUAGACUAACAUAAAUGCAGUGCAUUCCUGCAUCUUUUGCUUUUCAUUCUUCUAGCCAUCUCUGGGCAUUUGUUGUCACCAUCAUCCAUCUGGUAGAGAGAAGACUCUCCAUCAGGUAAGAGUUAUCUUUUCCUAUCAGGAGCAGCAUGGAUUCUUGUUCUUUGCAGAUGGUUUGGUGUAAGUGUCAGUAUUACUGCACAUAAAUAAUUUUAUUGGCGCAUAAAUCAAUAGUACUACAGAUUUAAAAGGAAACCUGUAUUGGUAAGCAGCUUUGCCAUGUGGCUGCCAUUAUACCCAAUUAAUGGCAUUUAAUAGAGUCCACUUAAUCUUUUGCAGUCUUUUUUUUUAGAAAACCUGGUAGUUAUCCAUAUUAGAGAUGAGGCAUUGAAGCACAUGUGAGAUUUAUCUGUCCUGAGGAUCUUCUCAUUUUCCCUGCUGUCCACAUGCAGGCUCAGCCCCAGCCCUGGGCAGGGAUCUACUGGUGCUCCAGCAGGGAUGUGUCAUGCAGGGGUGGGAGCAGCUCAGCUGGAUUCCCUCUUCUGUUGGCUUUCUGGUACGGGGGCAGUUGGGUUGUGGCCUGGUGAGUAUGCCUGUUGGGAGUGGUUUGAUACUGAAACACCACACUGAAAUAAUAGUGUGGUUAGGAGAACAGACUUUUCAUUGCACUCCUAAACCAGGAGCGUGGUGCCUGGAAGUAGAGCAAUGAUGUUGGUUUAUGUGAAUUGCCUUCAGUUAUGCAAGAAUACUGUGGAAAAGCUAAGAAUUAAGCACCCUUGCUGAAGGGCUCCUCCUACAUCUCCUCACUAUUCUUCCUCCCAUGUAACUUUCUACCUUGGCAUGACUAAUGCUUCAAAUUAAUGUGUACUAACCUCUAGCAUUUUAGUAUAAUAACAUAAAAAUUUGUCUUCAUGCAGAAUUUAAUUUUUGUACUCGCUUGUCAUGUUCCAAGCAGCAGGGAAGGGUCAAGGAACAGGUGUGGGUGUCUGGGAGCUCUGUACCUGCAGCUCUCCAUUUGGUCACAGCCAACAAGUGCCUUUUCACACGCUCACGCAGUCGCUGCGAGCUCAUUGGGGCUCUAAAGCAACAGACUUAACUCUGCCCAGCUGUGUGCUGCGAGGGUCGCUGCCCCACCCCGUCGCCCAAUUGCACACGUGCUGUUUGCUGGGCCAUCUCGCUCUGAUGGCCUCUGAACGCUCGCUGCAUCUGCGGCUGGUGCCUUUCACGGGGUGGCAACAACUUCAAAGCUGCCGUGCGUGGCUUUGCACUUGCUGCAGUUAUGCAGAAACCUGCGCGUCAGAUGACCCGCGUUAAGCCGAAGAGCACGUUACGGGCGUUGUGCUAACAGCACGGAGACGCCAACCCGAGGCUGGCAGCCUGACCCGGCUCCGUGCUUGAAGAGGGCAGGGCUGCGGCGCUGGAAUUCAGCUUUCGUUAGGCCGUUCCCUAACCUUCAAAGCGGGAUUUUCGGAGGAAGGGCCGCUGGAGAAGACAGGAUGAGCCCUAUCUGAUCCUUAUCGGGAGCGGACGAAAGCCAUGCGCUGCUUUUUCCUUUUGCCGCGUGCACUUAGCUGGGCUCGUGUAGAGGACGCACGUCGACGGCAACGGGCGCGCCGUCAGUCCCGCGCCGCCGCCCCGUCACCUGCAGGCCGCGGCAGCCCCUGCGGAGCGGCGGCUCCCCGACUGCGGCCUGCAGCACCGGGGCCGCGUGGGCUCCUCGUGAAGCCCCGAGUGAACCCGCGGGUCUCUCCGUGCGUUUGCCCGGCGCUGCUGCCCCCGCCCAAAGAAGCCUCGCUGUGUUUAUGGGGUGAUCUGUCUGCCCGUGGCAGACUACAGCUGCGGCGUCCCCGAGCGCCGCCCUCCCCGCCGGCCGUGAGCCUGCUUCGGACACGAGGGCGACGUGACGCGCACGGCAGCGGCUCUUUGCGGUUCCACGGUGCUAAAGGACCGCAACAGGAGCUUGCUGGAACUUGGCUCUCUAUUUAGAGAGGAAUUGAGGAUGCCCCUGUUCUGUGCAAGGCCCAGGAGAAGGAAGAGAAGCAGGAGGAGCUGCCUGUCUCCAGCCACAGCCCAGGCACAGGGGAUAGAGGUGCACCCAACAGCCACUGUGGUGCAGCUGACUUCCUCCACAGCCAGAAGUGGUGGGAGAAAACUCUGGUGCUGAGUCACGUUUCCUUCCUUUGAGCUCAUGCUGGAAUGGAUGGACAUGCCUGCACUGUGCCGGCAAGGCCUCACUGCGUGGCUUCUGCUGGGGACUGCUCGAGGUGGAUGCAGUGGUCCCUGUCAGAUGUGUGCCAAAUUGAAAUGCCAGCAGCUGUGUGAGCAGCGGGAUAAUCGUAUCUGCUGCUUCUCUCUUCCAAGUCCUGGCAUCCCCAUUUCAGCAGUGGUGUGUCCGUGCUCAGCUCUGCGGGAGGAAAUCCAUUGACUUAAGGCAUGCUGAUGCCUGGGGGAUGCGGUUACAUGCUCAUCAGUCACCUGUCUGACUGCGAACCCACUGGGCUUCUGGGAGGACUGACCAAAGCUCCGUGUGAUAACAUCAGUGCUCCUCACCUGAAAGUGGGCAGCUUGGAAUGCUCUGCUAUUGCCAUAAGAAGGCACAGACUUUGGAAGCAGCAACCCAUUCCUCUUACAAAUUUGCAGUGUAUUCUCCUUUUUUCCAUUCUGUACCAUUGAGCAUGAUAACGGAAAUGCUGCUGUUGGCUUAUUCCCUACCGUCACAGCAGAAGGGGACAGGAGGGAAAAGUUUUCGCUCAGCUUUUUGUUAUCAACCAUCUUCAUCCAUCACACGGCAUCUACACUAUGGAAUUCCCCCUAAAUGAAAGGCAAUGGUAAUGUCUUCACCUCCUGAAGACAGGACACAGCUCUCAGACCGAAUCAGCCGCUGCUGGAUAGCUUUUUGAAAUCUCCACAAUUAUCAGACCUGGAAGAUUUUUCCAUCAUGCUGGCCUGGGCUAGGCAUUUGGUGGAUUCAACUCAGUGGCUGUGAAAUUCCUGAGGAUGUUAUUACUUUCAAGUCAGAUUAACAGAGUAAUUUCCAGGUAAGAUAUUCUAGAAGAUAAUUUCAUACCUUGAACAAUUGCAUUGUCUAUUAAACAGAACAGAACUAUUUGUGGAAAAGAUAAUAAUCAAGAUCACAAGAUAGCAUCAGAUUUUAUAUUACGAUCUCCAGAUGUCUUAGGGAACUUAAUGCACCCAGGAUUGGUUCAAGUCUAAUUUGCAUGACAGAAAUGUGAGUUCCAGUGUCCUUUUCUCUGAGACUGUGUGGGGAAACUCUGUCUCCACAGGGACUACAAAGGACAGGCUGCCGUGGUUUGGUUGUGCUUUGGCAAGAGUAUUCACCACAGCAGCUCCUGGAGUGCCCAGUGGUAUCAAGCGCAUAAAAGAAGAGCUUUCACCUUUACUCAGACAGUGUGGUGUUCAGGCCUUUCUAAUGUAUACCCAUCAGAGCUGGCUGUAUGUUUUCCUGAAGACCACAGAUGUCCAGGAGGUUCUGAUGAGUCACAUCUAUAUCUGAGUUUGACACAGUGUUAGCUUCAUUGCCUAUUUUAGGUAGAUGGUGGUACAGAUAGACAGUGGUAGCUAAUGAUGCAAUGAUCUGUGAGUGCAAUUGCUUUUUCAUUUCAGCUUAGUUUGGCCAGAAAGUAAAAAAGAGAUCUCAAAGCAGAAAACGUGUCUUGACAUGACACCACAACACAAAAACGGCUUACAGCUACGUUUCCUUCAUGGAAAUCUGUACAAAAAUUGACAGCUGGGGACUUCGUGAGUUUCUGUCUGGAGCCAAAAAUUCAGUGUAAAUGCACAAAAGAGUGUGAGCAGAGAGCAUUCCAGCUCCUUCAACUCUGUGCACAAAACCUCUCAGGGCUUCAGAUAGGAUUUUAUUAUUUCUCACAGUCUUCAAAUGUUGUGCUGUGUUAGGAUGUGCUUAUACAUAAUUUUGUAAUUGAAAUGGCAUGUUUACUGUUCCAUUUCAUGCUUGAUUGUGUUUUUUAAACACCUUUACUCAUGCUGCUAGAAGUAGGAUUAUAAUUAAAAUGUCCUGUUGAACACCUUGUUCAGUUCAGUGAAGGCAUAAUAGAAGUAUAAAUACUUGUUCUCAUUGACUCUAUGAUGUCAGCACAACAAAUGCAGUACGUGUCAGGAAACUAAUCUCUUUUUUACCAAGGCAUCUGUAAAGAGGGAAGGGGAAACAGAAUCUGUGUCUGGGCAAAGUGGGGACCUCUCUACAGGAGAAUAGGAAAGUUUUAGAGAUACUGUUAACCUCUUAGCUACAUUGAACCUGAAGUUCCAAGAGGCUUUCUGAGUGUUGGCAGACAUACUAAAGGAGUUAAAGGCAACAAUAUUAUCCUUACAUAAAGUCUUUUCUCUAAAGAUUUCAAAGUAUUUUCCAAGCAUUAAUAAGUCAAGCUUUAAUAAGCAGGUUCAUGUUAUUAUAAUACCUGUGGUAUAUAUGUGUUAACUAGGGCAUGGAAUGUUUGAGUGAUUAGCCAGUUACUGGCGAAAAUUAGACAGGAAUUUGUUUCUCUACUCACAGUCCCUUGGCCUAAACACUAGGCAGUACUUUCUACAGUAGUUAUUAGGAAAAGCUGAGUUUGGUUGUAAGGUGUGAAAGAGUAAUAUACUUCUUACUGUUUCUGUUUCUUUAAGAUGCGUAUAGUUAUGCAGACUUCAUGUCUUUGUGGUAGGAUUGAAUUACAACACAGAGUUCAAAAUGUUUAUAGUUCAAAGUCCAGUGGUUACAGCACUUUAGCAUGGCAAUAAUGCUUUAAUUUUCUUAUACUCUUAGUUACCACUAGUGAAGAGAUUCCUACCAAUCCUGGCAGGCAAUUGUUCAGUCUUACGGAGCUUCAAAUGACUUUAUAGCUUGGAAGUCUGAGUAAGUGGGAAAAUUUCAAUAUUUAGUCUUAUGUUUGAUGCUUAGUUGGGCAAUUUACUCAAUACUUUGGUUAGUACUCUUCCUCUGAAAAGACAGGGAAAAUAAUGUCUGUGUUCAUUGUGCUUUUCAAUUGCUGUAAUAGUGUUUUUAAUAUACUAGAUACUAGGCUUUACACUGUACUUACACCAUGAAACUUUAUGUUCAUGUCCUUUCACUGACUGAAAGAGGACUCUCAAAACCAAUCCCAAGAUGUAUAACAUUUCUGUGCCAGAGCAGGACUCACCAGUCAGUGGCUGCCUUACAGGGAAAUAUACAUGAAGUAGGUAAAUAAGCAGACCCAGAGGGUGUGCAAAUUGCCUUCUGUGCCUAGUUUCAGUGCCAUCAACUAUAAGCUCAGCAGAUGUCAUGCAGGAAGGUGGUUCACAGGAUUUCCUCUUAAGAAAAGCUGUGAGAAAGUAACAAAGUGGGAGGUUUUCCUUCUGGGACAGGGGAAGACAGUACAGAGGACAGACCAACCCAGUGCUCAGAAAGAUUCACUGGGAUAAGUCUACUGAACGUGCAAGACAAAAUGUGCAAGAGUGUUUUUGUCAGAUGGGAUUGCCGCAAAACUUAGUGAAUUUCUUUGAGUGUCUCAUUAUAAGUACAGGUGCAGCUCUACACACCCACACGUGCUGUGUUUAUUUUAGUGUGUGAUCACAUAAAUACCUGCAGGUGUGAAACUGAAGAGAUAGCCGUGCUGAGGCAUGAAUAUGGAGUUCCACAUCUGUAUUUACUGCCUUUUUCACACAAUGAACUAGUGCAGUCUGAGGGUUCUCUUCUCACCUCCUACAUGCACUUUAUAAGUAAUUUUGAAGGAAAUUCAGUCCUGGUAAAUACAUUCAAUGGAUGGAUGUCAAGGUAUAGAAUCAAAAUACAUGAAGGUGAAGGAGUAUGGAACAGCCAUCAGUUCACUGUAUUGCACAUAUAUGCAACAUUAGAAGAAGACUAAUUUCAGAUAAAGAAGGUCACAUCAGGUUAAUAUACAGUCAUAAACUCAUAAAAUUGGAAUUUAAUGUGCCUUUUGAGGCAUCUAAAACUUCUGUUGGCCUUCCGUACAGUGGCUGGUUCUUGCACACACUGAGAUGUUUCCUUGUGUGUAAUACUGUCAUAUAGUCUGUAAUACGUGGAGUACAAAUCAUGGCUACUGCAAAAACCUUUGAAUUCACUGAUUCGUGUGCAUGUUGUGGUAUUGCAUUUAUGCAGCUGUUGCAUUGAGUAUUCAUCUGAUGCUAACUGUCUGGUUAGUAAGGCCCUCCUCAGUGUCGAAAAUAGAAAACAGUAAAAGAUAUUAACGGUAUUUUCUAUAUAAUGGUUGCCUACAGAGGCUUAAUGUUCUGAAAGUUUCACACUUUUUGUAAGGCCUUCAGUGAUAACUUCUGUUUUUCAAAGAGAAAAAUAAACCUUCCAAAAUUCCUUUGAACAUUUCCGCAGCCUUUCAUAGUGUUAGCUGUGAAAGUUAUGGUGUCACGUUCUUAAUAAGGACAUAUGGGAACGGUGUUUUAGUAGUCUCUGCUGCUUUAUUUGUGAAAACUAUCUCAGGAUGCUUUGGGAUUAUUUGGCAAUAACUUCCUUUUGCCCCAUGAUUCCACAGGGAUCUUCUCUGUUAUCUUCUGUUCAUUAUAUUCAUUUGAAGAUAUUUUGGAGAAAACAUGGAACUCGAUAGCAUUCAUUCCCUGUUUAUGCCUCUGAAUGGCUAAAGACAGGGAUUGAGUUUUUCUGUGACAGUAAAUGUGGAGGAACCACAUUGCUCAAAAUUCAAUUCAGCAAAAUUUUUUUAAAUAGUGCUGCAAAGAAGGAAAAAAAAAAGGACAAAUUUUUGUUUCUGAUGUGAAUGUCUCUGCUUUGUCCAGAGGAACCACAGCUACCAUCUGUGACUUGUGAUAGCGACUGUGCUUCUAUGCUAUGGAGAAAGGGACAGAAGCAGCUAGAGCAGUAGAAGAAAUAACACUGUGUUAACAAAGACUUUAGCUGAGGCAAAUUUACUUCCCUGAGAAUUAGCUGGGGUAUCUCUCCAUGACACACUUACUUUAGAAUCACAGCAUGUUGCAGUUAUUAGACUCUGGCAGGCUCCUAGGUAGGAACUGUGUCCAAGAGCCUUUAUUUCAUCUGCUCCAAUUGAGAAGAGUGUGGCAGUUUCUUUUGGUUGAGCCUUGCUAUAACGAUCUGAGCUUUAGUCACCGUGAGGCUAGCACACUGCAAAGCAUUCAGCUGGCGUUACAGCCAGAGACAACUGAGCUCCAAAAGUGAGUGCAGACUGUGUCUAUCUACUUAUUAAGUGACGGGUCAUGUGGAGUGCCCAUUACCCAGUAAUUGGUGCUAGCUGCCAGUUAGCAUUCAGUGGGACUUGGCGCAUUUGUAUAGCCCUUACAGACCAGAGUGGCCUGAGAUUGUUCUUGCCUUAUUUGCUGCAAUUGUAAUCAGACGGUGGCUCUGCUUCGCAGAUCUACCAAACUCAAACUGAAGGGCACGGGGGAGUGUGGGAUCUCCCUAGAGAGUUCAGCCAGAGGGAUGCCUGGGUCUCAGGGCUCUGUGGUAAGGCUGCAGUCCACUGACCCCUCUGCUUUCCUUGGCUUGCAGCUUCCUUCCCUGCACCACAGGAGAAGGAAAGGAUGGAAUCUGUGGUAGGUGACACAGUGCCUACCCGAUCAUGCACAGCUCUAAGUAAGUCUUUAAAGAUGAGACCCUUGAGUGUUUUCUGGCCUCGUGGAGCCCACGGGCAGCAUUCAGAUGAGGAGUUCAGACACAAAGAUGGGGAAGUCUUUCCAGAAGGGACUGCGUAGGCAGACACACACACACAUAUCGCUGUGUAAGGUACAUGGUCUUGCAGCUUUGGUUUGGGGAACCCUUUUGUUCUCAGGCUGCCAACUGCGGGCACUGCUCUGAAUUGCAGCAGGUUGUGGGGGAGCGAGGAGGAAAGUGCACACCAUCCUGUAGGUCAGCACCGGGUGCGAUGACUUCGGCGCACACGAGAGCAGGAUGGGGCUCUUUUCACACCGUUACUUCCCGCAGUAUUACAGUUCUUUUUUAAUUACAGAGCAGAGCGGCACUAGGCCCAGAGGUGAGCAAGGUGGUGAUUGAGGGCAUGCGAACGGCGUGCUCUCUGCAGUCCCGCAGCCGCGGACCCCCGCUCUGCGCCGCGCCGGACCCGGCAGCCCUGCGCCUGGCGGCAGCGGGCGCGCUUCGCCGGGUUGCCCGGGAGGUGGCGCCCUUGAUCGCAGAGUGAGGAGCGGGCGGGCGGGCC